GCCCCCGUAGCUCAGUGGAUAGAGCAGCGGUUUCCUAAACCGCGUGCGCUGGUUCGAUUCCGGCCGGGGGCACUA
rnacentral:tRNA from 1 species